rnacentral:rRNA from 1 species
UACGGAGGGGGCUAGCGUUGUUCGGAAUUACUGGGCGUAAAGCGCGCGUAGGCGGCUUUGUAAGUUAGAGGUGAAAGCCCGGAGCUCAACUCCGGAAUUGCCUUUAAGACUGCAUCGCUAGAAUCAUGGAGAGGUUAGUGGAAUUCCGAGUGUAGAGGUGAAAUUCGUAGAUAUUCGGAAGAACACCAGUGGCGAAGGCGGCUCACUGGCCCGGUACUGACGCUCAGGUGCGAAAGCGUGGGGAGCAAACAGG